AUGACGCCGCCGCCCUCGCCCUCGCCCUCGCCCCCGCCGCCGGCCGCCGCGGACGCGCUCGCCCAGAUCCUGCACGCGCUGCUCCCGCCGCUCCUCCUGGCCGCGGCGUCCGCCAACGCGCUCCACUCCCGCUGGCGCGCGCUGCACGCCACGCUGCUCGCGCUCCAGUCCUCGCUCGUCUCCGCGCCCGCCCCGGCCGCCGGCCACCCGCUCUUCGCCGAUCUGGUGGCCUCGCUGCUCCCGGCCCUCCGCUCCCUCCACGCAUUGUCCGCGCGCUGCCAGGACCCGGCCCUCCCCGGCGGGCGCCUGCGCCUCCAGAGCGACCUCGACAUCGCCGCUUCCUCGCUCACGCUUCUCCUGCACGAUCUCUCGCUGCUCCUUCGCUCGGGGCUCCUCUCCGUCGAUUCGUCGGCGUCCUCCCCCAACGCCAUUGUGCUGCAGGUGCCCGCGGCAGCCGCAUCCCGCUCCGACAAGUCGCUUUUCAUCAGGGACGCCUUUGCGCGGCUCCAGAUCGGGGGCCUCGACCUCAAGCUCAAGGCCCUCGCCUCGCUGCUGGAGUUGCUGGGCAAUGACCCUGCUGCUGAGGCCGCAAACAUCGUUGCCGCCGAUGGCGAUGUGGCUGCGCUGCUCCGCAUGCUCGACGCAUCGGCCCACUCGGCGCUGAGGGACCGCGCAGCAGCGGUCGUGGCCCUCCUUGCCACUGCCUGCGGUGCAUCCCGGAAAGCGGUCUUCGACGAGGGCGGCCUUGGCCCGCUGUUGCGCGUGCUUGACUCUGCCUCGGCACCGGCCACGAGGGAGCGUGCGGUUGUGGCCAUUGAGGCCAUCACUGCCGAUGCCGGCAGCUCGUGGGCUGUAUCAGCAUAUGGAGGGGUUUCCAUCUUGAUUAAUGCGUGCCGUCCUGGCUCUGGUUCGUUGGCUGUGCAGACGCUCGCUGUAGCAGCUAUCAAGAAUGUGGUCUCGAUCGACGAUGUGCGCUCAGCGUUGGUUGAGGAGGGUGGGUUGCCAGUUCUGGUUGAUUUACUUGCCAGCGGCACCACUGACACACAGAAGAAUGCUGCUCUCUGCCUGUGGUCGAUCGCGUCCAUGGGCGACCUUGAGACACAGCAACAGAUUGUACAAGAUGGUGCAUUACCGCCACUUUUGCAGGCUCUGCACAUCACCACCGAUCUCGAUCUUCAGAAUUCUGUCCUACGCGCUAUCCACGUGCUUGCAGUAGUCCCUUCGGCCGCCAGGAUCCUAUGUUCAUCCCCGCUGUUCUUUGCACAACUAACAGACCUUAUGCGCCAUGGUGGUAGCAUCCUGUUGCAGCAGAUGGCUGCAGAUAUGAUUGCCGACCUUGCACCUGGCGUGAGUGAUGACACCAAGCGGUGCAUGGCACCAUGUGUUGGCACGCUGGUUAAGAUGAUGGAGGUAGCCAAGCCUGCAUCCAUACAGGAGUCAGCUGGCCGUGCACUACUUGCUUUGAUGACCUUGAAAUCCAAUCGAAAGGAGUUGGUCAGGGAUGAGAAGAAUCUGACAAGGUUGGUGCAGAUGCUUAACCCCCGGAAUGAGGAGAUUGACAAAAAGCACCCAGUCUCAGUACUGCUAGCACUUGCUAUGGGUGGUGGGAAUGGAACACGACGGCGUCUUGCAGAUGCUGGUGCUUGUCAGCAUCUACAGAAGCUGGCUGAUGCUGAGGUGCCUUGUGCAAAGAAGGCUUUGCAAAGGAUAUCCAGCAGCCGAUUCAAAAGCUUACUUUCCAGAGGGUGGAACAACUAG
rnacentral:rRNA from 1 species